rnacentral:rRNA from 1 species
GAUCCUUAGUACGGCGAGUGAAGCGGUAAAAGCUCAAAUUUGAAAUCUGGUACUUUCAGUGCCCGAGUUGUAAUUUGUAGAAUUUGUCUUUGAUUAGGUCCUUGUCUAUGUUCCUUGGAACAGGACGUCAUAGAGGGUGAGAAUCCCGUUUGGCGAGGAUACCUUUUCUCUGUAAGACUUUUUCGAAGAGUCGAGUUGUUUGGGAAUGCAGCUCAAAGUGGGUGGUAAAUUCCAUCUAAAGCUAAAUAUUGGCGAGAGACCGAUAGCGAACAAGUACAGUGAUGGAAAGAUGAAAAGAACUUUGAAAAGAGAGUGAAAAAGUACGUGAAAUUGUUGAAAGGGAAGGGCAUUUGAUCAGACAUGGUGUUUUUUGCAUGCACUCGCCUCUCGUGGGCUUGGGCCUCUCAAAAAUUUCACUGGGCCAACAUCAAUUCUGGCAGCAGGAUAAAUCAUUAAGAAUGUAGCUACUUCGGUAGUGUUAUAGCUUUUUGGAAUACUGUUAGCCGGGAUUGAGGACUGCGCUUCGGCAAGGAUGUUGGCAUAAUGGUUAAAUGCCGCCCGUCUU